rnacentral:tRNA from 1 species
GGUGCUAUACUUUACAUUAAAAGGUCUGAUUUGCAUUUAGAAAACGAAGAAUUUGCUCUUCUGGUGCCA